AUGCAGGGUGUGACCCCUGCCAUCCGUGUGGGGGCCCCCAGGGGCCUCCCGUGCAGCCUCAGUCUCUUCACACAGCCGCUAAACCCGACGGUCACCUAUAGGGAGCAGACGGGGCAGGGAUCAGGGCCCAGGGCAGCUGAAAGGGGUGAACAGUGGGUGGGGAGUGAGGGCCGGGGCAAGAUGGUUCUCACCGGAAGUUUGGAGCUGUGGUUGCUGGCCGGGAGGCCCCCCACAAAGAGGGUGUGGGGCUGGGGGUGCUCUGCCCCCUGGUGCUGCCAGCGUGGCCCCUCCUGGCUCCAGGCCCGGGCCCCGUCCGUCACCAGCAGGAUCCGGUUCUUCUCCCAGCGCACGGAGACCUGGGGGCAGGAGGCGGGUCAGGGUAGGGCCGCCAGGCCCUGCCCACCUUCCUUCUUCUUGGCCCAUACCUUGUGCCAGUGGCCAGGCCAGGAGCGCUGGCGGCUCUGGGCGCGGAGCCGAGUCCCAAGGCCUUCCAUCUGUGCGACGAAGUGUCCAUUGCUCAGGAAGAGUGCCAGGGAGGGGCUGCUGGGCCUCAGGCUCGCAGCGAAGAGCAGGAGGCCUCGGGGGCUUCGCGGGAGGACGCGCAUGGAGAGGCUGGGCCUAGAAGCGGAGCUGGCGUCAGCCUGCGCGGCCCCUCUCAGCCCACCCCAGCUGUAUCUGGCCUUACCAGUUUCUAUGUGGGGCCAGGAUGCCCACAAACUCCAGGUGACUGGACAGGGAACCCCCAAACUGGUAGGUGUCUCGGGUGGUCCUGAGGUGUGGGGGCAGCAUGCAGGCGGGAUCCUGGGUGGGCUGACGACUGCGGCGGGAAGCCUGGGGGCAUGGAUGGUGAAUGCAGGCGCUGCCCGCGCGGGGGCCACCCUUCCAGCCACACCAGCUCUGCCCGCUCACCCCUGGGGCGCCCACCUUCCGGGCGGUGGUCCGCAGUCCUCUAGGCCCCAGGUCCACGGUCUGGGCUUGCAGGGUGGGUGCACAGCCCGUGCUCACGUUCACGCUGCCCAGGUUCUGCUGCAGGUCGAAUACGCGCUGUGGGCCCAGGAGCCUGUGCAGGGCGGACAGGGGCUCCUCCCGGAGGUAGCCAAAGCUGUAGACGUUCUCAGGGACCACGAGGACAUAAUCCUAGGGGGUGAGGCCUGGUCACUCUCCCGUGGGCCCAGAGCCUGCAGCAGGGAGGCCCCCAGAGGCUGGCUAGGACCAGGGUCCUGGAGGCAGCUCAGAGUCCUGGCAGCAGCAGCACAAGCCAGCCCCGGGCCCUGGCUGCCCAGGGGAGGCCACUCCAAGCCAAACAGCAGCUUUGGGGGUGUGAGGAGGCAGCAGCAUUGA
rnacentral:lncRNA from 1 species